UGUGGGCCACAUAAAAUGAAGUCACAGGCCGGAUUUGGCCCCCGGGCCUGGAGUUUGACACCCCCGCUUUAAAGCAUGAUUUUCCUUAGUGGUUUUAGAAAAGGUGUCUUAAUUGAAAAUGUUGUUGAAGUUUGGAAAUGCACCAUUCUCACAAUCCAUGAAAUGUUCACUGACACUAUUUAAUAAUGAUGUCUUAAUGAAAAGCUCCGUAUAACAUGACGUCUGAUCAGUGUUAUUUCCACUCGAGUACAUACUCGUAAUCCACUUUAUUACUACAUCGCUGUUUAUGUUCUGUUUUUACCAUAUUCCAAUGUAGCCUUGUGUUGAAAAAAUAGCCCCCUGUGUUGGAGUUUUUAGCUUUUGAGACUUUUAGUCUUUUCCUACUAUUAAGGUUUCACAGAGUAUGCCAGCAUUGGCAUAUCAUGUGCAUAUUGUUUUCCUGUUGGAGAAAUGUCUUGUGCAAUGUUUCAUUUUACAGUGGCAAUAUUCUACACAUGCAUUCCUGAUGUAGUCCUUGUACUUCAGUCUGGUCUCGUUUGGGACCAUAAGUCAUUAAUGAUUUUUUUGUUUUGAAUUGCAGUGCCAUAAGAGGUGCUGUAAUGGCAGGACAGUGUAUUCAUAUGUAAUUUCUGCUCAUCGAACCACAUAUAAUUUAAGAAAACAACUUACGCUCGCAACAAAAAACAAACUAUAACAUUUAUUUUAUUGAAAGGCCUCCAAGGCGUUUUCUGUUGCUACAUUAAGUUCCCUUAAAAGCCAAUUGUGGGCAGCAUUCACAAAAUGCUAGACCUACGGAGUAGUAAGACUAUGCUUAAGGCUGGUCUUGGCAUGCACUGGAGAGACCGUACUAGCUAGGCACUGACUAACGAAAGCAUUACCCUCUCUUCCUUUUCUGUAUGUAACCUGUGGCACCUGUGGACCUUCAUAUUGGAACGAACCGUUUCUUCGGAUGUGUCUCCUGCUGGUUGUGUUGUAAAUCUCACAAUAUAAAACAAAUCACCUUUACUACCGUACCAUUUAUACACUUCCAUAUGGACAUGAACUUUGUGCCUGCGCACUAAACCAUUACUUAACACCCCCUCUCCAAUCUGCCCACCUGGCAAAUUAAACCCAACAGCGCAACGAGCGCUUUGCCCAGGGCGGUCCUAGGGGAAUAGGUCCUGGUACCCCCGGGUUCGGCAGAGUCCGUGAGGAGUUUGAUGGUCCUGCUAAGAAACCCCGUUUUUAAAUGCUGCUAUUUGAAGCUUCCAGCAGCAACAUUUGUAUAGAUUCUCCACAACAUACUUGUUGAGUCGCAUUUCUUGUAUUUAAGUUUAAAUUGUUGCUACAUUUUAGCCUGACAAUUUACUCAUUUUAUGACAGUCAAUAUUUUCCUUUUUUUAUUUUGUAUUGUCAGUAGUAUGGAAAGAUGGAACACCCUCGUGUGAUCAUUAGCUCUUUCAGACACAUGUAUACUUUUCUUUUCUAGAUGUAUUAUGCUCUGUGAGUCGCCGUGAAGUGAUAACUGUAACACUUUUCUCUACCUUCUAUGGCUGUGUUUUGUGCCAUACAUUUGGAGUCAAAGCAUGUAUUAUAAUAAAGAGACAUUGGUUCUGUCCGGCAAAACGUUAACAUUUAUUCCUACAAGUUGAAACUCUAAACGUAUAAUAUGUUCAAAAGCAACAAUUUACUAACAAAUAGUUGUUUUUAAUUGACGUGGCUAUUUCUGCCACUAUAGGUCUUAAAGGGUCUAUGUGUUAUCUCUGCCGAAGUCCUAAACCUCAAUCGCUCGGCGACGCGUGGCUCCUCCUGAUGCAUAUGCUGCAAAUUUCCCUGCAGUCUUUUGCUUGUUUUUUUAUUCCCAUUAAACUCAAAAAACUAGCUGACACACUUACAAUUUGAAUUCCUGAUAUGAGUGUUUAUUAGACUUUUAUCAAAUAAUUAUACUAAUCUAGCAGUGACAUGUCUUAUUGGUAAAGGGUUUUGACAUUUGGCAUCUGCAAGUCUAGACUGCAUCAAUGUCUUCAAACUGUAGAGGACACACAAUAUUAUUAAUCCAUUUAAAUAUACCACUUUUAAUUUGUUCUCCAUAUACACUGCUUAGUGGCAAUGGAGGUCUCCGCUCUCUGUUUAGCAUGUUCCAUUCACUGUUAUUCAGUAACUCUUUUAAAGUCAUGUUUUCGGAAAGCAGACAUACUACACAUAGAUCCUUUAAGAAAGACUUGUGUGGUGGUUGUGGGUAGUCAAGUGGACACUCGUCUUCUUAUAAAUACAAAUGCUUAUCAGAUACUCAGUGACUUACAGGAAACAUUAGUGCAUCUUUGGUGCACUCUUUUAAAGCUAUUGACUACGUUUACAUGCAGUCGAAUACAAUAUUUAAAAAUGUAAGGAUCACCAUGCUCUUUUUAAUGCAAACAUUUGAUCAAAGUGACUGUUGGCCUCUUCUUGGUAGUAAAUGGGUUGUUUUGAUAAAUCGAAGAGAGCUCAUUACAAUUGAACAAAAACAAUCCACCAAGUUGUGCAUUAUGCUUUUAAAUACCCCCAGUCUGUGUUCUUAGUCAAGGUUCUACUACUGCAUUGUACAGCUCAACAAUCUUUGGUUUCCAUUAGAAAAACUUGCAUAAUUUUUUGGUAUUCUUCAGGUGAGAUUUCAAGCAAGCUAAACUUGCAAAUUAAUAUGGGAGCUCAAACGCUGCAGACCAAUGAGAAAGAAAAGAAAAAAAGCGUAGCUACUGUCAAUAGCGACCGCUAUUUUAUUUGUAUUGACUCGACCAAGAUCACAGAGAAUGACCGCCCACAAUAUAACAUACCUGCAUCUAAACGUAGUCCUAACCAGUUCAGUCAAAUAAUAAUUUUUGGGUACAGUUAUCAACAUCUAUGUUACUAACUAAUUUGUAUGUUGAUACCAUAGAUACAAUAUUUGUUGACGUAAGUACAUGUUAUCAAAUGAAAGAGCUCAGUAAUUAGUAAGACAAUAUUAAAGUUAAAAAAGGCUUCCCCCUUAUUAACAAAAAACAAUGUGACUGACUCUUUUAAAUGCUUGCUUUGAAAUAUAUUUCCAAUAUGAUUAAAAUAUUUUCGAUUUUAAUAGUUACAUGAAAUUAGUAUAACACGAGUCAGCAAGACAGCCCGUGUUGUCAAAUCUUGCACUUGUUGAAACUUGUGCAAAAGUAGAAGGUUGCAAAGCAUGUAUUGUCCUGUAAGAAGACGAGAACGUUUUCCCUAAGCAAGGUCAACUGCAUUGAUGUGGUUUGAACUGCAGUUGAAUACCCGGCCAAUGUUGGCUUCAUCUUCUACUUUAGGUUUCUAACAAGAGAUGGUGAUAUUUCACAUUCUCCAAUUUGGGAAUUCCCUUUUUACCUCUUGUCACUUCGCAAGAGGUCACAAUUUUUUCAUUUUUUUUAAAAUCCUCAAUUCUAUUCAAUGUGUUUAUUCCUACUGCUUCAUAUCAUUAAUUGGGUGAAAUUAUCAGGAGCCCAUUUACAGCACCGUUUUGCAUUAAAGGAGACAAAGUGUGUUAGGCUGUAGUUGCAUCAAUGUCAUCUGUUGCGAUAUUGUAGGAUGCAGGACGCUUAAAAAAAUAAAAUGCAAUCUUAUUUAUACUGCCUUAUAGCUGCCUUGUGCCCAGUGAGAAGAACCUAUUUGAACUAGAGGUGCACUUCUAGACCACGGACCUCCGCCAAGACUCAGCCGCUUCAAAUUGUAACGGUUUCUUCAUUGGCCCAUGCUACACCCUUCCACCAAAUUUAAUGAAAAUUGGGCCAGUAAUUUUUUCCAUAAUCCUACAAAGAGACCAGAACGAAUCCUUGGCGACAGUAACAAUGAGAUCCAUAACAUUUUAAAAAGAGUCUGCUUUUAAAAUUAUACAUCAAAUUAUUAACAUUUUCUAUCAUCAUUGCUAAAGUCUUCUUGCAACUGAUAUUCAAAUUAUAACUGUAAUGCCCAAUCCCUCCCCAUGAAUCAUGUCAGUACCUGCUCUGAAGUACUUUGACAUCACGCUGGCAUCAAAUGGACACUGGCUUGCCUUUGCAAACAUUUCUCAGUUGUGUGAUAGAAGGAGAUGGGCUUUAAAAGUGAGUGUAAGUAUUUUUGUAUUAACUACUUCUUUUAGGAUUUAACUGCUAAGUAUACUUGUUUCAUCUUACUGUGUUUUUUGGAUGGAAAUUGAGAAUUUGCUCAGAAAUUAAGCACUUUUUUCAACAGUCUUUGGUACUGUGCUCUUUUUAAACCGUAAACAUCCAUUGGCUGACUUAAGACAAUAUUUGGAGAUAUAAUUGGAGGACCACAAUUCAGUGGUAGUUCUUUUCAUUUGCCUUUUGUAUAGCUGCAAAAACAUUGAAGUAUUUGAGACGCAAGGAAACUUUAAAGUUGAAGGUCCUCAUGCAGUGUCAAUUUACUCUGCACAAUAACAAACAUUAUAAGGGCUUUGUGCAUUUCACACCCUUUUUUUAUUGAAUUGGUUUUACUUUUUGAUUAUGCAGAACAAUUUCGGGGCAACAACAAAUCAUUUAGUUAGUAAAUGCUCAGACCUCUGCAAACGCUUUUCCAAAAGCAAAUGGUGUAUCCAACCAGUUAUUUGGAUUUGCCAAUGCUGCUGUCAUUCUUAAUCUAACCAUUCUGACAUAUCCCUAAACCCUCCGACAUUUCCAACAAUACGAAUAACCAUUUUUGCCAGGUUUGAGUAACCCUCUCUUGGUCCAAUAGUAAAAAUGAAAGAUUUUAAACUGAACCUUUAAUUGUUAAACACCUUGACAAUGUUUUAAAAUGGCCACUUAUCUGAGCCUUAUCAUUUGUAAGUGGUGAAAUGUCUUAAUCCCCUUCCAACACACUUUUCAGAGCUGCGAUAGCUUUAUUCCCACUACAGAAAAAAACCUUCUAUAAUAUUUGGAUACCCCAUCACAUUUUUGCCCUGCAAGAAUCCCUAGUUAAUCCUUUCCCUUCGAGUGGCAUCUGAGAAACCUGAAACACACCGGACUACGGAUACUUGGUAAAAUAAUUGGAUAUCAAGGAGUGUUCAUCUGUAAUGUGUGUUUGUGUUAUGUACAUUUUUCUUUAACAGGUUUGACCAGCUUUAAAGAUUGUGGACUGUGGAGGAAUUUGUGGCUGUAUAGCGUGGAAUCAAGAAUGCUUUAGGAGAAAAAAAGUGACACUGGACCCGUGUACAAAUGUACUUUAGUAAGACUCACAAUAGAACAAUGUAAAAGGGAAGAAAAUCGGGAUGCUGACAUUUUAGCCUUUGAGCAAUGAGGCUCAUCUAGCUUUGUUGCAAUCCCUUUGACAACAAUGGAUACUUGUAGACAUAACUACCGUUAAAUGUAUGACAACCAUGACAGAAUUGCAACUUUAGAAAUACAUUAUUGAUUGUUUUUUUUAUGUCAGUCAAGAUGUAAAAACAGUAAUUCUGUCUACAACUUGAGGUUUUUUUUGUGUUUUUUAACGGUAGUAAUUAUUUAAUUUCUCAUAUAUUGGAAGACAUACUGUACCUACGUUAUUGCUUUCUACUAACGUUUUCCCAGAUUGGUGUAAAUUAGCUGAAGAGAACCAUUCCAGAAAAAGUUCAGUCGGGAUACAGUUUCCAGUAAUUGUCUUUGGAGAUUAAUGCUGAAUUUUCUCUUUUGUUUGUUUACCAUCUAAAACUAAUUUUUUUUUAAAUGCAAUAUUAAACUUUUGUAAGCUUUUAAGGGGAUUCCAAAUUCAAUGUUUAGUUUCUUGUUUUUUAUUUAAUUUCUUAUAAUUUAUCAAGCUUACAUUUUUUGGGGGGAAUUAAUUACAAGCUUAAGUCCAUUCAUUUGGAAACAAGCACAGCAACAAAGGAUUCAGUUUUGUAGUCUCAUUUGGUAAAUAUACAGUCCGGUGUGUGACUCAAUGGACAGAUGUUUAACCAGAUUUUCUGGGUUAACUUGACCUCUGGAAUCCAUUUGUCACAUUGAAUGGAAAAACUUUGGGGGGGGGUUGGCGGUGCACAAGUGAGUUGGUAAGACAAUUAGUUAAGUAUCACAAGCAUAGUAAGUAAGGAAACAUGAAGAUAAGAAAGGACUGCUAGUUGAACAGAGACGUUCUGCUCUUAAAAGCAUCUGAACAUCCUGCAACAUAGUACAAGUGCUCAUUGAAGUGACCCAGGUAUACCUUUUAAAUCUUUUGAUGUUAUGUCUGUGUUGGUGUUGUGUACAAAUUGUUUUUCUUUGACAGGUUUGACCAUCUUUAAACGUGUUGGACUGUGAGAAGGAACUUUCCAAAAAGAGACCAAUCUGUAGCUUCUUCACUUUUGAUAAUGAAACCUUAAGGACCAAAUAGAACUUGUUUUUGAAAGACUUCGAUCAAUGUGUAAUCAUGAAAGGCUGUGCUUUGAUCGAAGUUUGAAGAUGGAGAGUUUAACUUUUUAACAUCCUUUUCGCACUAAAACCCUAAACUGCCCAGGUUGCAGUAUAUUUCCCCAUAAUGUGUUGAUGUGCUGAAAAGAAAAAAACAUUUUUUGAGAAUAGUCAUUGUCAAUAUCUGUCUAUAAAGGCAUUAAGUUGUUUUUACAGACUACACAGUGACUUGAUUUCAGGUGCUUUGGACAGGGUUUUCUCUCAUGGCCAACACAUUCUGACUUUAUUAUUUAUGUCAAGAUCUUGGCAAUAUUCAUCAAGUGAUGUUCUUCAAGAUUUGUUAAGUGUCGCCAAGCAACAAGCUAAUAAGAACCCUUGUUGGAGUUUAAAACCGGAAUGUGUUUUUUUACCAACGCACUUAUUAGCCUUUGCUAGUUGAGUAAAAUGGUAACUAGAGUUCAGAGUUAACCUUUGUUUAACACUAGAACCGCCAGGUUGUCGCUAUAUACCUAAAACCGCCAACGGGUAAAAUGUACCCGCUAUUAGAAUGCAUUGAUUUUCAAGAUACAAUGUUCUUUUAUUUAUCACACUAGAACACAGGGUUAACAGUGAGUUUUGAUCGUACAGGGAUGAAACUAAUACCAUUAUAAUCUGGACUCAGCUUUCAUAGGAUAUCUGAGUUUAUGCAGAUAGCAUGAGGUAGAAAAUAUUGAUAAAAGUGUCUCUAUAACUAUCUAUCUAGCUCUCUCUAUAUCUACAAGGAACCACAGUAAACAACAGGUGUUGCUAUAGCAACACGUCAUGUUUAUGCACGAGAUCAAUAGCGCGAAAAUCACUGCAUUUUCUACAAGGUAAAUAUUACCCGCUGGUGCUGAUGGGUAUAAAUGGAAAUUCUUUGGGUCACUUUUUUCAAUCUAACUUCAUAUUGACCAUUUUUAACAACAGAGGGUGCUACGUAACACCCUUUCAGGAAAAGUCAGACUGGGAGACUUGAAUAUUUUAUUGAAAAAAAGUUACAUACAAUCAAGAAACAGCUGUGGGUAAAAUGUACCCGUUGGCGGUUCUAGUGUUAGGGUUGUUGCCAAUCACAUUGAUCCAGGUACACAAAGUAUAUUAGAAGUUCAGAACAGGGACUAAGUGCCACCCAUUUAGAUGGCAUUGUGGUAGUUCAAUCAACGCUAUGGCACUAUUAAUUGGCACGAUAUUGUCGAGAUUGAUACAAAGUGGACCACACUUAGGAGAAUACACAGGAACUAUAUUGGAUGUUGAGAUCUGGAUGUGCCUUAUUAACAUAUUUUGACUGCAACAUGGAAACAAAGCUCUGACAGAGAAUUUCUUUGUCAACUGACUUAAGUAACUAUAGUAAAGAAGUUAACAUGGACGUCCCAUAAUGCAACACAUUUUCGCAUAGUUUGACACUGAAAUGCCUGAAGAGAAGGUAUCAGUUUGUUUAAAGGACUCAUGCCUUGCCAUCCCAUUAUCACCCAUAUUUGUUCUAAUUUUUUGGAAAUCCCCUGACUGCUGUUGGAAAAAACUGCACUAGUAUACCUGACUGACCUGCCAUUUACCAACCGACCUGAGGCAGGAAGUCCCGUACACCUAACGGUUGAAGAGAGGAUGGCGUGUUGUGUGUGUGUGUGUUUCGUGUCUUUGGUAAAGUGAGUGGUGUGUAGCUGCUGUCAGCCAGCUUGUCAGAGACAGGCUGCCCCAGUCCACAGUAGAGGCUCUUCUCUGCAGUUGGGUUACAUUGACGAUGGGUAGUUCUGCAGAAGUCAGUGGACAGUAAAGCCUGGACUUGUUUGCACUGCAGCCAGAGGUAUGCUUACACAGAUCAGCUGAACAAGUAAGGUAAGUGUUCCAUCCAUGUUUAUAAUACCAGAUGCAAAGUUCUCCCAUAACUUAACUCUUCUCUCCGUCCUCUUACACCACGUUGCUGUUCGCAGUGACGCUCACAGGGCUUCUGGCAUCACACUUGCAAAGAAUGGCAUCACAGUGCAGAUUUCCGUUUUUCAACCUUUUUGUGUGUGGAUGUGGUAACUCAUUUUAGACCGUGCAGUGUGUAUGGUUGUAGUACUUUGGCUUUUCUGUAUGUAUGCAUGAACGGUACUAUGUAUGGACUGCUGAGCCAAUGGUUCAACACUAAAGUUUCAAAAAAAAGGUGUGCUGCUGUCAGUUUGUGAGAACAUUGCUUGAAUACUUCAAACAAGGUGAAAAGUAUUAGAAGGCUUAAUCUGUUCAAAAUAAGUCGGCCUAUGCUGAUUUCUUAGGUCAUUUUUGCAGAAUGUUUUCUGCCAUAUUAAAAACCAUUCAGCUUAACUAAGGCAGGUUUUGUGCAACACUGACCAGAAAUGAGUCAAACUCAAAUGGCAUUCAUUUAAAGGCUUUCUGGGUAGCUUUGUCUUUGUGCUACACCUUUUUUUUUUCUUUUCUUUUUUUUUUACAUUUCUCACAAUCGUAGUGCCGAAUGGACAGUUUGCAGGCUACUUUGUUUCACAUGAAUUUACCUUUAGUCCUAUUGUGAUUUGCAGAACCCUGGUCGAUAAUAAAAACUAGUUUUAAUUAUUUACAUUUGACCAGAGCAUCUGUUGUCACCACUCCUGACUCUCCUCAGUGUAAAACUAUAAACAUUAAUACUUUGUGGUACUGGGUUGGGAUCUUUGCAGCUUUGAAGUGAAGCACAUACUGCUGGGUUGCUCUGGGUGGGAUUGUAAUAACAUUUAAAUCCCUAGGUCAUUCUGUUCCUCCAGUCCGAUUCUUAAACAACAACCUUCGUGACUUACUGUUUGAGAGUUUUAUUUUUAUCUUGAGAGAACACAGUUUUUUAAUUCUCACUAAUUGACUCAUUUUCUGAUCUCAUGUUUAUCCUUUUCUCUUGACUUUCCCCACUGGUGACACCAGUGGGUUAUUCACAACAGGUCUUAAAUAUAUACAAAAAAAUGUAUUUCUUAAAUAUUUUUAAGAUAUUUUAGAUAGUCUUGAACUUGCAGAUACACUUGCAAAGUUAAACUUUACUUGCAAAUGCACAUACAUAAUGUAUGUUAGGUACAUAAACAUUUCAAUUUUUUACACAUAAUACAUAUGGGUACGAAUACUACAAAAAACCUAUAAUUAAAAUGAUGCUAAUGAGAAAAAAACCUAAUUUAUAUUAAAAACAUUUGGCGCCUACAUCAUAACUAACUAAAUUUAACAUUUACUUCCUGUUUACAUCCACCAAUGAAUCAUGGUAGUAGUACAAAGUAGUUACAAAAAUUACAGCUUUAUUAUCCGUUGUUUUGAUUAUCAAAUGUUUCACUAUUUAUUUUUGGGUUACGCCAACAAACACUUUUGGCAGUGUAAUGGGGCAAUGCCCCUAAAGAAAACUGGUUUAAAAAAUACAUCUACAAACCUUUUUUGACAUAGUCUUGAAGGGACCGGAGGAUGAACGGGGAGAGAUGUAGUUCUAUUGUGACAAUUUUGCAGUAGUGCUGGACUCUUAUUGCGUUCCUUUCUCCCUCAGUAUCUCUCACUGAUGAUAUCUCACUUCUUUUUGAAUACCAUUUACUGCCAGUGUCCGGCCGCUCAUCGAGAUAUACAGUACAUGACAACUGUGGCAUUUUCCUUUUUGUUGCUUGUACGUAGGAGACAAAAUAACUGUUGAGUUAUCGCUUCUCCUUGAUCAAGAGGGAACCACACUGUUCAGCCAAUGCCGUGAAUCACGCCCUGGAGGCUGCCGAGAUGUAUCUGUCUGCACUGUGAUCCAUUUUCUAACCAUGUCCUCAGUCCUGAUUGGCCAAAAUAAUCUCCAUGUCCUGUCAAUGAGUGUGAUGCCAGAACAACCCUUACGGCCUCUAAUGGCCUCCAAAGUCUGCACGACUGACACUGAAAAUGUCUUCUCGCUAUAAGCCUCGUGGUGUAGCUCCCAGCUCUGUUUGGGGUUUUUGCAGUAACACCCCGGAUGUGUCAAUAUGAAGUUCAGCUUCCCAUGGCUUUGUAACGGAGUUCCCCAAGGUUUGCAACAGACCUGAACGUUGUCAUGAUUUUCUCUCGACUGCAGUUUCUAAACAAAAGUAUCUACUUCAGGAUGCCGAGAUGCCUUUCUUAAAUCUGUUGUUUACUUGUAUCACUCUCAUACAACAUAUUUGAACUUUUUCUCACAUUCACAUUUAAACUCUAAAUGCAUGUUUUCAUUAUAACAUCAUUACUUGUAUUUACAAUUAAAACAUUGAGUCACUGCACAUACAAAAACAUGCAAAACACCCAUAGAUGCUCAGGCUGUCUUGUAUUUAUAUUCUCAAAUGUGGCAACCUCAAACUGUAUGAAACAAGCAUUUAAAAAAAUGAUGUUGUAAACCUGCUGAGCAGUUCACUACUUGGCUCUCAUUGUUUGUUUCUCGUCACAGGAGCCUCGAGCAGCGGAAGCAGGCUGAGAAUCCACGCUGUUAAACAAAGGUGAAAUGAAGACGUGUGUGAAAUGCCAGAGCUGCUGUAGAGCUAAUGCACUGUGUGCGGACACCAGGAUCGCUUCCAUAGCUGCGGGUGAAGCACCAGGAAGCAUCCAUCAGGAGGCCAAGCAGUCCGCAGUCCAGAGGAGGGAUGCACUGUUUGUUUAAAAAAAAAAAAAAAAGUGUUAAUAAAUUAUAUUAACCUGA